rnacentral:rRNA from 1 species
AUGAACGCUGGCGGCGUGCUUAACACAUGCAAGUCGAACGAAGCACUUUUUACAGAUUUCUUCGGAAUUGAAGUUUUAGUGACUGAGUGGCGGACGGGUGAGUAACGCGUGGGUAACCUGCCUCACACAGGGGGAUAACAGUUGGAAACGGCUGCUAAUACCGCAUAAGCGCACAGUACCGCAUGGUACAGUGUGAAAAACUCCGGUGGUGUGAGAUGGACCCGCGUCUGAUUAGCUAGUUGGCAGGGCAACGGCCUACCAAGGCGACGAUCAGUAGCCGACUUGAGAGAGUGACCGGCCACAUUGGGACUGAGACACGGCCCAGACUCCUACGGGAGGCAGCAGUGGGGAAUAUUGCACAAUGGAGGAAACUCUGAUGCAGCGACGCCGCGUGAGUGAAGAAGUAGUUCGCUAUGUAAAGCUCUAUCAGCAGGGAAGAUAGUGACGGUACCUGACUAAGAAGCUCCGGCUAAAUACGUG